rnacentral:rRNA from 1 species
CCUACGGGGGGCAGCAGUGAGGAAUAUUGGUCAAUGGACGAGAGUCUGAACCAGCCAAGUAGCGUGAAGGAUGACUGCCCUAUGGGUUGUAAACUUCUUUUAUAUGGGAAUAAAAUGUUCCACGUGUGGGAUUUUGUAUGUACCAUAUGAAUAAGGAUCGGCUAACUCCGUGCCAGCAGCCGCGGUAAUACGGAGGAUCCGAGCGUUAUCCGGAUUUAUUGGGUUUAAAGGGAGCGUAGGUGGAUUGUUAAGUCAGUUGUGAAAGUUUGCGGCUCAACCGUAAAAUUGCAGUUGAAACUGGCAGUCUUGAGUACAGUAGAGGUGGGCGGAAUUCGUGGUGUAGCGGUGAAAUGCUUAGAUAUCACGAAGAACUCCGAUUGCGAAGGCAGUUCACUGAACUGCAACUGACACUGAGGCUCGAAAGUGUGGGUAUCAAACAGGAUUAGAUACCCGAGUAGUC